rnacentral:rRNA from 1 species
ACACGACUACAUUAGAUACCCGGGUAGUCCUAGCCGUAAACGAUACUCGCUAGGUGUCGGCCACGGUGCGACCGUUGUCGGUGCCGUAGGGAAGCCGUGAAGCGAGCCACCUGGGAAGUACGGCCGCAAGGCUGAAACGUUAAAGGAAUUGGCGGGGGAGCACAACAACGGGUGGAGCUUGCGGUUUAAUUGGAUUCAACGCCGGAAAUCUUACCGGGACCGACAGCAACAUGAAGGCCAAGCUGAAGACUUUGCCGGAUUAGCUG